UCCCACUUACAUGGGCAGUUCCCAAAGAGUUCCCGACUUUACGCUGGCAACAUUGGGUGAGGGUUGCGCUCGUUGCGGGACUUAACCCAACAUCUCACGACACGAGCUGACGACAACCAUGCAACACCUGUCUUCCAGUCCUCUUGCGAGGAAGAUCCGCUUUCACGGACUGUCCGGAGAUGUCAAACCCUGGUAAGGUUCUUCGGUUAGUGACGAAUUAAUGCACAUGCUCCACCGCUUGUGCGGGCCCCCGUCAAUUCCUUUGAGUUUCAACCUUGCGGCCGUACUCCCCAGGCGGAGUGCUUAUUGCGUUAGCUGCGACACAAGGGGGGUCGAUACCCCUUACAUCUAGCACUCAUCGUUUACGGCGUGGACUAC
rnacentral:misc_RNA from 1 species